ensembl:snoRNA SNORA70 Small nucleolar RNA SNORA70
UUGCAGCUAAUUAAGCCGACUGUGCGCUUUUCCCUCUGGGGUCCCAGUGUGCAGUGGCUGCAGACAGCAGCCUCCCUGGUAGUGUAUGCGGUCAGUUGUCUGUACAGGUCGCCCUAAGGGAUCUUGAAGACAACU